CCCGCUGAACUUAAGCAUAUCAAUAAGCGGAGGAAAAGAAACUAACAAGGAUUCCCCUAGUAACGGCGAGUGAAGCGGGAUGAGCUCAAAUUUAAAAUCUGGCUGGUUUACUAGUCCGAAUUGUAGUUUAUAGAAGCGUUUUCGGUGGCAGCCUGGGUAUAAAUCCUUUGGAAUAGGGUAUCAUAGAGGGUGAGAAUCCCGUCUUUGACUCAGUGCAUGCUCCUAUCCUAUACCAAUUCAAAGAGUUGAGUUGUUUGAGAAUGCAGCUCAAAAUGGGUGGUAAAUUUCAUCUAAAGCUAAAUAUUGGCGAGAGACCGAUAGCGAACAAGUACCGUGAGGGAAAGAUGAAAAGAACUUUGAAAAGAGAGUUAAACAGUGCGUGAAAUUGUUGAAAGGGAAACGUUUGACACCAGUUAUGCGGGUGGAAAAUCAGUCUUUUGCAAUGGGGAGUUGUGAGCGUUCAGACCGCAAGGCUGGCGUUUGCCUCAUCUUUGUUGUAAGUGAUGCACUUUUUCAUUUGCAGGUCAACAUCAGUUUGCUUUGCUGGACAAACCCACAAGGGAAGGUGGCAGCUUAGGCUGUGUUAUAGCCCUGGGGAGAGACAGUGGAGUGGACAGAGGUUUCGCAGUGUGUCCUCACGGGCAAGGCUGACUGGAUACAAAGGGAUCGUACGGCGUACAAUGCAUGCAUUUUGCGUCGUGUCUUUUUCAUACUCGCUCAACUGGGCUCUACCACACUUAGGAUGUUGACUUAAUGGUUGUAAACGACCCGUCUUGAAACACGG
rnacentral:rRNA from 1 species